UACGGAGGAUGCGAGCGUUAUCCGGGAUUUAUUGGGUUUAAAGGGUGCGUAGGCGGCUUUUUAAGUCAUCGGUGAAAUUUUGCAGCUUAACUGUAACAGUGCCGUUGAUACUGGGGAGCUAGGAUUUGGUUGCUGUGGGUGGAAUGUGUGGUGUAGCGGUGAAAUGCUUAGAGAUCACACAGAAUAUCGAUUGCGAAGGCAGCUCACAAAGCCAAGAUUGACGCUGAGGCACGAAAGUGUGGGGAUCAAACCAGGAUUA
rnacentral:rRNA from 1 species